UUUAAUUGGAUUCAACCCCNGNAAACUCNCCAUAGCCGACGGACGUAUGAAGGCCAGCGUAACGAGCUUGCUGGAUUGUUCGAGAGGUAGUGCAUGNCCGUCGUCAGUUCGUACCGCAAGGCGUUCUGUUAAGUCAGAUAACGAACGAGACCNUCAUCCCUAUUUGCUAACCCGAUCUCCGGAUCAGGCGCACUAUAGGGAGACCGCUGGCGCGAAGUCAGAGGAAGGCGAGGGCAACGGUAGGUCAGUAUGCUCCGAAUGCUAUGGGCUACACGCGCAAUACAAAGGACGGGACAAUGGGCUGCAACUCCGAGAGGAACGACGCUAUCCCGAAACCCGUUCGUAGUUCGGAUUGAGGGCUGUAACUCGCCCUCAUGAAGCUGGAUUAGGUAGUAAUCGCGUCUCAAAAAGGCGCGGUGAAUAUGCCCCUGCUCCUUGCACACACCGCCCGUCAAACCAUCUUAGUUGUGGGUGGGUGAGGCUACCUCUCUGUGUGGUAUUCGAGCCUGCCUUCGACAAGGAGGGUUAAGUCGUAACAAGGUA
rnacentral:rRNA from 1 species